GAAAGUGUUGGAAUUCAAGGAAACAAGCUAGGUGGUGAGACGUCCGGAAAAGGCAAAGGAAUUACGCCUGAGGACUAUUAGUCAGAGUUCACCCGGAAUCCGGAUUUUCGACACCUAUCAGGUGACUGUUGGACCCUAGAUCGAGGAGUCCCCGUAGUGCAUCUCCUGGCUUAUCACCAAAGCAAAUUGCUGCCAAGCUAUCUUCGACCAUCAAUAACGCGAAGCACGUUCGUGAUGCUUGGAUCAAUACAAGAUUUGAGUGGAUUGCUACUACCUUUUUUAUUUGGAUUCACUGCAAAUGGAUCAAUCAAUAAGUUGGCAGUACUAUUACUAGUAUAAUGCAUUUAUAUUAUUAUAAA